rnacentral:tRNA from 1 species
GCGAAUAUAGAUUAAAGGUAAAUCCUCUGUCUUCCAAACAGAAAAUAUGAGUUCGAUUCUCAUUAUUCGCA